rnacentral:rRNA from 1 species
AUACAGGGGGAUAACAGCUAGAAAUGGCUGCUAAUACCGCAUAAGCGCACAGCGCUGCAUAGUACAGUGUGAAAAACUCCGGUGGUAUGAGAUGGACCCGCGUCUGAUUAGGUAGUUGGUGAGGUAACGGCCCACCAAGCCGACGAUCAGUAGCCGACCUGAGAGGGUGACCGGCCACAUUGGGACUGAGACACGGCCCAAACUCCUACGGGAGGCAGCAGUGGGGAAUAUUGGACAAUGGGGGAAACCCUGAUCCAGCGACGCCGCGUGAGUGAAGAAGUAUUUCGGUAUGUAAAGCUCUAUCAGCAGGGAAGAAAAUGACGGUACCUGACUAAGAAGCCCCGGCUAACUACGUGCCAGCAGCCGCGGUAAUACGUAGGGGGCAAGCGUUAUCCGGAUUUACUGGGUGUAAAGGGAG